GGCAGCAGCUAAGAAUAUUCCGCAAUGGGCGAAAGCCUGACGGAGCGACGCCGCGUGGACGAUGAAGGCCGGAAGGUUGCAGAGUCCUUUGGCGCGCGAGGAAGAAGCGGGGGAGGGAAUGCCCCCGCGGUGACUGUAGCGCGAGAACAAGCACCGGCUAAUUACGUGCCAGCAGCCGCGGUAACACGUAAGGUGCGAGCGUUGUUCGGAAUUAUUGGGCGUAAAGGGCAUGUAGGCGGCCUUGUAAGCCGGGCGUGAAAUCACGGGGCUCAACCCCGUGGCCGCGCCCGAUACUGCGGGGCUUGAGUCGGCGAGGCGGAGGCGGAAUUCCUGGUGUAGGGGUGAAAUCUGUAGAUAUCAGGAAGAACACCGGUGGCGAAGGCAGCCUCCGAGCGCACGACUGACGCUGAGGUGCGAAGGUGCGGGGAGCAAACAGGAUUAGAUACCCUGGUAGUCCGCACAGUAAACGAUGCGCACUUGGUGUCCGGCCGUGAGGCUGGGUGUCAAAGCAAACGCGAUAAGUGCGCCGCCUGGGGAGUAUGCCCGCAAGGGUGAAACUCAAAGGAAUUGACGG
rnacentral:rRNA from 1 species